UCGGAUAAGCUUGGGAAACUGGGUCUAAUACCGGAUAGGAGCCAUCUUUAGUGUGGUGGUUGGAAAGUUUUUUCGGUGUAGGAUGAGCUCGCGGCCUAUCAGCUUGUUGGUGGGGUAAUGGCCUACCAAGGCGGCGACGGGUAGCCGGCCUGAGAGGGUGUACGGCCACAUUGGGACUGAGAUACGGCCCAG
rnacentral:rRNA from 1 species